CUUCCUGGUCUUACAGCCAUAGCAGCCUGAGCUCAUCUGAUCUCAGAAGUUAAGCAGGGUUAGGCCUGCUUAGUACUUGGAUGUGAUACUGCCUGGGAAUACCAGGUGCUGGGGUUU
rnacentral:rRNA from 1 species